AGCCCUGUAGUGUAGCGGUCAAUCAUUUCGGGUUUUGGUCCCGGAGACCCAGGUUCGAAUCCUGGCAGGGCUACCA
rnacentral:tRNA from 2 species